rnacentral:rRNA from 1 species
ACGGAGGGUGCUAGCGUUAUUCGGAAUCAUUGGGCGUAAAGCGCGUGUAGGCGGCUUGGUAAGUCAGAUGUGAAAUCUUAGGGCUUAACCCUGAAAGUGCAUUUGAAACUGCCUGGCUUGAGUCCCGGAGAGGGAGGUGGAAUUCCCAGUGUAGAGGUGAAAUUCGUAGAUAUUGGGAGGAACACCGGUGGCGAAGGCGACCUCCUGGACGGUGACUGACGCUGAGACGCGAAAGCGUGGGGAGCAAACAG